rnacentral:rRNA from 1 species
AUUGAACGCUGGCGGCAGGCCUAACACAUGCAAGUCGAACGAGUGGCGGACGGGUGAGUAAUGUCUGGGAAACUGCCUGAUGGAGGGGGAUAACUACUGGAAACGGUAGCUAAUACCGCAUACCAUCAGAUGUGCCCAGAUGGGCGUGGCUUGUUGGUGGUGUAACGGCUCACCAUGGCGACGAUCCCUAGCUGGUCGGAGAGGAUGACCGUCCACACUGGGACUGAGACACGGUCCAGACUCCUACGGGAGGCAGCAGUGGGGAAUUUUGCACAAUGGGCGCAAGCCUGAUGCAGCCAGGCCGCGUGGAUGAAGAAGGCCUUCGGGGUGUAAAGUACUUUCAGCGGGGAGGCGUUACCCGCAGAAGAAGCACCGGCUAACUCCGUGCCAGCAGCCGCGGUAAUUC